UUAGCACAGGACGUUUUUAAAACGAUAUAUAAAAGGGUAAGUAUGUUUACGUAAAUAAUGGCGUGAUACUCGAUUACGCGGAAUUGAUUUAUUUAAGUAAAAAUUAUAUAAAUUAACAUAUCUUUAAAUCAACCAAGUGUCUGUAUUGUUUUCUUUUAGAAUUAAAUUUGAAAAUAUAUUGUAGUACUUUUAGUUUAAAGUUGAAUGCCUUCGUUGAAACUAGGUUGUGUUUGUAUUUCUACUUGAUUCAAGUAGAAAUACAAACACAACCUAGUUUCAACGAAGGCAUACAACUUUAAAUAUAUUUUCAAAUUUAGUUCUACAAGAAAACAAUACAAACACUUGGUUAACUGUAUUAAUCAUAUCUACUUGUACUGAUUAUCAAGUAGAUAUGAAUAAUAAAGUUUUUAUAGUGUGGUUAACUAGAUUAUUUUACUUUAUUAAAUAACUUAAUUGUUGAGUAAACUUAAUUAGUGUAAAAACUAGAUUAAGUUUUUAAUUCUACUUGAUUAUCAACUGCUUUUAAUGCGAAAAAAUUCAUUUUGAUUUGAGAAAAGGGAACAAUAUUCUCAGAGUUUAUCUUCUUUAACUCUAAAAAUAAGAAAUUACAAUAUCAGUGGUUUUUAUAAAGGAAUUACUAUAGUUGAAAAGGCUGAACAGGAAAAAUAUGAUGAUUUGUUUCAAGAAAGUGAGUGACAGUUCAAAAUGUCAUUCCAAGAUUUUUAAUCUUUUAGCAGUAUGAAAACUAUAAUAUUAUAUACCAUGUUAUAUGCCUUAUUUUACUUAUAAAAUUAAUAAUCUGUAAAGUAAUUUGUAAAAAAAAAGUAAUAGAUAAAGAUGAUAUUGAUUGUAAUGACCGAGCAUUCAUUUUAAGGCACAUCUUUAUCACCUUUAAAUAAAAAGAAUAAAUAUGAUGGAUUUCCAUUAUCUCAAGCAAGUAAGUCUUUAGUUAAAAUAUAAUAAUGUAAUGUUUGUUGUAAAGUGCUAACAUGACUGUCAAUAUUAUCAAAACAAUAAAUCUAUGGAACAAUCUUUCUUGUCUAACCCUAAAUCUGAGAAAAAUUGUAAUAUAUAGUAAAAUACUUUAUUGUGGCUAUACUAAAAAUUAGUAUUGCCACAAUCAAGUAUUUUACUGUUUAUUAGUUUUUCUCUGAUUUAGGGUUAGACCAGUAAAGUUGUUAAAUUAUUAAAUUUAUGCAUUUUAAAUUUAUUUAUUUACGUAGUUUUGUUAAAACUAUGUAAAAUUUAACCAUUGUAAAUUUGUUUAGACUUUCAAUAUUGUGUGUUGCUUUUCUUAAAUGAGAUAAAAACCCAAGGAUGCAAAAAACUUAAUAUAAAAUAGUGUGAACAAGAAGUAGUAACUGAAAGUAACAGCCUAAUAGAAUUUGAUAAGUUUGACUCAGCACUUGAUAACGUUUCAUCUAGUAACUCUGUAAUAACUCUGCAGUUGUAAAUUGCUCUAUAAUGAUUUGACAGAUUUUUUCUUUUUUAAAAAUUUUCUUUACAAUGUAUAAUUUUUACUACUUUAUUAGGAAUUGUCUGUUUUUCCAUUAUUUCUUUCUAUUAGAAACAAAGAGUUCAAAAUAUUGGUAGUAAGAAUUUUCAAAAACUUGUGAUAGCUAUAAUGAAGAGUUUUAUGACAAAUUCACUCAUCGCCAAAUUUAAUAUAGCAGCUGGAAAAGACAAAAGGAUCUUUUUAGUCUAACCAAGCCAUACAAUUCAAUAAAAGUUUGUGCAUCGACUGCUCACGAAUCAUACACAGAGUCGAUUGUUGAUGCAAUAAAUACUGAUUCGUUUAAGCGGGCAACUUUUGCUCGUGUUAAAGUGCCUUAAAUCCAACAGAUAUCAUCGUUACGAUAUUACUUUGUUUGUAAAUUGUUUUAAAAAAUAUAUUUAAAAAUAACUUUUAAAUAAA